UACAGAGGUCCCAAGCGUUGUUCGGAUUCAUUGGGCGUAAAGGGUGCGUAGGUGGCGUCGUAAGUCGGGUGAAAUCUCUGGGCUUAACUCCGAAACUGCAUUCGAUACUGCGGUGCUUGAGGACUGGAGAGGAGACUGGAAUUUACGGUGUAGCAGUGAAAUGCGUAGAGAUCGUAAGGAAGACCAGUGGCGAAGGCGGGUCUCUGGACAGUUCCUGACACUGAGGCACGAAGGCCAGGGGAGCAAACGGG
rnacentral:rRNA from 1 species